rnacentral:rRNA from 1 species
UUGUCCUACGGGAGGCAGCAGUGAGGAAUAUUGGUCAAUGGGCGGGAGCCUGAACCAGCCAAGCCGCGUGUGGGAAGAAGGUACAGCGUAUCGUAAACCUCUUUUGUCAGGGAACAAAGGCGGGGACUAGUCCCCGGAUGAGGGUACCUGAAGAAAAAGCAUCGGCUAACUCCGUGCCAGCAGCCGCGGUAAUACGGAGGAUGCGGGCGUUAUCCGGAUUUAUUGGGGUUAAAGAGUGCGCAGGCGGCCUGUUAAGUCAGCGGGAAAAGCCCGG